GAACAUUCGGCUAUUGAUCUCUAAACUGAGUGUGAGUGAUCAGAUGGCUAUGACCUAUUGCCCCAGACGGUCCGUGCUGGUGAUUAAAUGAUGAAAGCAUGUGAAUGCCGGUUUGUGAAGUGUGAAAAUGCAGAUUAUUGUGCCAAAACCACGAAGAAACCCUGCCAAAUGCCGAUGAAUCACUUUGGUCAAGUGUCAAGGAAUGAGGCUACAGGUUUCGUGGUUUUGGUAAAAUACCAUCGGCGAGCUUCUCCUGUAAAAAGGAUAUACGCCUGAUCUAUGAAACGAUCAUUUGGAAUGCGUUCAGCUCUUACUAGCUCAUUUACUUGGAAGACGAAAUCUGAGACGUCCAUGCCAUGCGGAUCGCCACUAAAUUGUA